CCUACUUAUUCAGAGGGAUCAAUCCCAUCUUGACUCAUGCACCGACUUGAUAAGUACUUGACUGCACCCAAAAAUCUUUCAUCACUGAAUUAAAAAGUCAGAUGGUCCAGCACCAAAGCAUAGUGAGUUAUUUACAAGUCACCGUGGUGAUCUCAGGUCAGAGGGACACUUAUACCCAUACCCUUCGUGAGCUACUCAUGACAGCAAAGUGCUCCGUAAUUGAUCACGUUUGAUGCGAAUGUACACCUACAUUCCACCUGCAUGCCAUAUCAGUAUCUCCACCCUCCUUGGUUAAGAGAACAACCAACCCAUAUGAAGCAUAGUGAGUUAUUUACAAGUCACCGUGGUGA
rnacentral:lncRNA from 1 species